rnacentral:rRNA from 1 species
AAACUGUUCAGGGGUAAACCUGAGAAACCCAAAAGAUCGAAUGGGGAGAUUCAUCGUCGACGGCGUUGGCUACCGUUUGUGCGCGAUGCUCCGGGUGGGACCCUGCGGUUCCAUUAGCGAGGGCACGCCACCUUCGGAUCGAACUUUCCUGCGUCGUAGUCGUGCACUUCUCCCCUAGUAGGACGUCGCGACCCGUUGUGUGUCGGUCUACGGCCCGAGCGGGAGACUGUCGCGUCGCUUCGGCGCACGCGGCAGACCCUCGGUCGCCCGGCCGGCUGCACGACGGUACACCAACGGUAUCGGGCCGCAGCCAAUCCAUUCUCGAAUGUGUGUGCGUCCAUCCCGCCGCAAGCUCGGUCAGUUCUUACCCGGAGGUACGGACCCUGUGCCGUCCCCGGGCCUGGCCAGCUGUUAGCAGGCGGUGUCCUCGGACCGGCCAAACCUCGGAUUACCGGUCGGCGACGCUAUUGCUUUGGGUACUCUCAGGACCCGUCUUGAAACACGGACCAAGGAGUCUAACAUGUGCGCGAGUCAUUGGGAUGCACAAACCUAAAGGCGAAAUGAAAGUGAAAGUCGGCCUUCGCGCCGAUCGAGGGAGGAUGGGCCGCGUAACCAUGCGGCCCCGCACUCCCGGGGCGUCUCGUUCUCACUGCGAGAAGAGGCGCACCUAGAGCGUACACGUUGGGACCCGAAAGAUGGUGAACUAUGCCUGGUCAGGACGAAGUCAGGGGAAACCCUGAUGGAGGUCCGUAGCGAUUCUGACGUGCAAAUCGAUCGUCGGAACUGGGUAUAGGGGCGAAAGACUAAUCGAA